rnacentral:misc_RNA from 1 species
GGAUCCCACUCUGCAACACAGCACAAUUAAAAAGAAUUCAGAUAUUUUCACAAAUUAGUUGAAGAUUAGCACCUGUGACACAGUUCAAACUCUCAAUAUUCGAAAUGAUCUGAAAUUUAAGCUGGUGCCAAGAGAACUGAUGUGCAGAUAUUCUCGCCACAUAAUGACAGUGUAGAAAACAAAUCAAUUGAUAUUUGCCCCAAUUGAGUUGAAAAUUUAAUAUCACAUCAAAGAUUAAACAAAAUUUCAGUAAUUAACUGAAACUUUAAAAUAUCAUAAACAGCACAAGUUAAAAAUUAAUGACCUUGCCCUCGCUAGUCCAUUGUUCUUCACAAUCAAACUUCAU